rnacentral:rRNA from 1 species
GACGAACGCUGGCGGCGUGCUUAACACAUGCAAGUCGAACGGAAAGGCCCUUCGGGGUACUCGAGUGGCGAACGGGUGAGUAACACGUGGGUGAUCUGCCCUGCACUUUGGGAUAAGCCUGGGAAACUGGGUCUAAUACCGAAUAGGACCACGCGCUUCAUGGUGUGUGGUGGAAAGCUUUUGCGGUGUGGGAUGGGCCCGCGGCCUAUCAGCUUGUUGGUGGGGUAAUGGCCUACCAAGGCGACGACGGGUAGCCGGCCUGAGAGGGUGACCGGCCACACUGGGACUGAGAUACGGCCCAGACUCCUACGGGAGGCAGCAGUGGGGAAUAUUGCACAAUGGGCGCAAGCCUGAAGCAGCGACGCCGCGUGAGGGAUGACGGCCUUCGGGUUGUAAACCUCUUUCAAUAGGGACGAAGCGCAAGUGACGGUACCUAUAGAAGAAGCACCGGCCAACUACGUG